UCACUCCACUGUUCAGGUAAGGAUGUUGA
rnacentral:piRNA from 1 species